AUCCAGCUGACGAGUCCCAAAUAGAACGAAACGCGUGUUGUGGAU
rnacentral:hammerhead_ribozyme from 1 species